UUAGUGGCGAACGGGUGAGUAACACGUGAGCAACGUGCCCAAGACUCUGGAAUAACUUCGGGAAACCGGAGCUAAUACUGGAUACGAGACGUAAAGGCAUCUUUAGCGUCUGGAAAGAAUUUCGGUCUUGGAUCGGCUCACGGCCUAUCAGCUUGUUGGUGAGGUAAUGGCUCACCAAGGCGACGACGGGUAGCCGGCCUGAGAGGGUGACCGGCCACACUGGGACUGAGACACGGCCCAG
rnacentral:rRNA from 1 species